GCGACCACGCAUUGCCGUACCUGAAUACGCACGCGUACACAGUGAACUGCCAAACCUAGCGCUCGUGCUUGCUGGAUUGCUGUUGUGGAUCUUAUCCCAUUCGCCUGGUCAGCUCCAGGAAGUCUACUUGGAAUAGGUAAAAGACAUCUAUCUAAUUGCUCUCUUUUUCCCUUGAACUGAUGCAGCAAGUUUAAUAACAAAAUUGGGGAAAGUUGAUGUCAUAUACUUGCUGGCCACAUUAAAGUUGCAGCUUGACUGCAUAAUUCAUGGUGAUUUGUUGAUCUUAAUGUGGCUUUAGUUGUUUUAAUGAGGUGAUACAUAUGCACGCAUAAUUGUUUAAGCCAAAAUUUGGACCUCUAUUUUAUGAUUUUUCAUUACAUAUUAGGAUAGAAUUCAUUAUAUCUGUAUCAGGACAAUUAUAUUAGAAAACUUAAAAUUUUCAUUGACAAGCAUUAUCAUGCACAUCUAGGCUUUUUGGAGUGCAUUAUUAAUAAUUCUCUUCUUGCACGUUUCCUUUCAUAAAUCACAUGCUAUAAUUUGGGAAAUCUAGGAAAGUCAUAUCUUGCUUAUUAAUAAAUUUAGAUUGCAUCUUCAUUAAAAAAAAAAAAAAAAAACCGAAACAAAAAUGUGAAGUGGAACUCCCCACGAGUCAUGACGAGUAUUAUCGCCCCAUUCCUGCAUUUUUUUUUUCUUUAUCAGUUUUUUGCUGUUUUUCGUAUUUAGUUUUUCUUUUUGCUCUUUUUCCAUUUAUUAAACUUAUAUUCUGAAAAGAUAAAUGGAAAUCUAGACACAAAGUACAAUAGAGAUUAUGAAUGACUAAUGACAAUGUGAUUAAAAAUGACAAAAGUUGGACUAAAAUUAUAGUUUGUUAAUUUGAGCAAGAGAAACAAUAAUCAGUGCCAAUUGUCAAUCACACAAAAAUAGAAAAAAUCGGCACCCACGUAAUGCGUGGAAAGUCUACUAGUAAUGUAAAAGAGACAUUCGCAUGGGAACGGAAGAGGAGAGAUUUGAAAAGUGAAGCGAUAAAUCCAAUUUGCAUCUCCGUAAGUCUUGGUCUUUCUGGAUUUUAUUAAAUUUUCUUUCCAAUCAGCUCUAUACCAAUUUUGCUUCACUUUUACGACAAAAAAGUUCAUGAUACCCACUGAAGUUAUGGUCUUCUCGAGUUUAUGAUUUACUUACACGAACGAGUAUAUGAUCGUGGAAACUACAAAUGUGCGGGGAUAAUCUCUAAAUAUUACAGAACAACCACUUGUGAAAGAAAAAGUUGAAGCAAGAUGGGCGAAAAUAUCUGCUGAAAGGUGAUGAGUUAGUAACCGAUGAUGGGGAAUCGCCUAGAAAGAGAAUCAUGGUCCUUUGAACUCAAUUUUCCUGUUCAUUGGUGUGAUGAAUAAAGUAUAAUUUUUUAGUAGAUUAUACAUUGUCAUUUGGUGAUUUGUGACUUGUUCACUAUUUGCAUAGUAAAAUAAAGCAAGUUGCUUAAUGAAUUAGUAGGUGUGCUUGACCCUUUUUCUUAUUAAUCCCAAAGCACGUGUUUCCAUUCUUCUUGAUGGACAGACAAAGUUAAUUGUCUUUGAUGACAUAUGUAUAACAGAAAAUAAGAUGCAAUUAUUGGUUGAAUCCUCAAUAUGUUAUGUUUCAAAAGCAAUUAUUUUACUAAGUUGCACAAGUAUGUUUAUUUGCCAAUCGUAUUAAUUUGAUCAACUUCAUUCAUCGCUAAACAAGAAAAAAAGGAUAAGCACACCGACUAAUCCAUCAAGGAAGUUGCUUUCUCUCUCUCUGGAAAUGGUAAAUGAGUCCAGUAUUAACAAUAUAUAAUCUACUAGAUGUCACACUCUACGAACUUGAUAAUUGUGUUCCUAUCAAGGUGAUUCUCGAUUAUCGACCACUACCUUAGCACCCUUCAACAAAUCAUUGUCACCCAUCUUGAUGUGAAUCUUUAGCAUAGUAACUGCCAUGUAAAAGAAUUCAUCAAUCUCACAUUCACCAAUAAAGCAAACAAAGACAUUGAAAUCAUAAGGUUAAUAAGAAUAUACAGAUGCUAAAAAAGCCAACAAAACACUCGUGAGGGAUAACACUUAUAAUGAAAAUAUGCAAACACUCUAAGUUGGUCAUAUUAAGACGCUGUUUUGGAUGGCCAAAAGUAAAGGUCCGACAGUAAAAAAGUCUUGAUCUGAAGAAUGAGGAGAGCAAUUGACGUGACAAACACUUGUGGACAAAUAGUAUUUUAUUUUAUUUUUAUUUGUCUAACCUUUGAUGUGCAUCCCUUGAAAGUCUGGGUCUUUUUUUAAAUAUUUUUCCUAGGUCAUCGUCUUGGUCUUCCUAGACUUCAUAGUUUUUUCUCUCCAUUAGCUCAUUUUCACUUUGUUUCACCAUAACACCUUUAUUGUUCUUUACAGUAACUGAUUCACCUAUGGCCAUUGGAGAGAUCGUUUUGGGUUCCUUUUUGGCUUCGUUCUUUCAGGUCCUAUUCGACAAGUUGACUUUGUCCGCAUUAAGUUGUGCACAACAAGAUGGAAUCAACACCGUCUCGAUUGAGGAGUGGAAGGAUAUGCUGGUAACAAUCAAUGCAGUGUUGGCUGAUGCAGAGGACAAGCAACUUAGUGGUAACCAUCAAGUGAAGCUAUGGCUGGACAGGGUAAAGGACUUGGCCUAUGACAUGGAAGACUUGCUCGAUGAGUUUGCGAUAAAAGCUGCUCAUAUUGAGUUACAGGUAGAAUCUAGCACAAGUAGAAGUCUGCAAAAAUUGAAGUCCCUUUUCUUUGGCCAACCACACUCGCUUGUGUCUAAAACCAAGAUACAAGAGAUCAAUCGCAGGUUGGUAACGAUUGUCACUGGAAAGGCUAAUCUAAGCUUGAGAGAGAAUGUUAUGGACAUAUCCAACUUCACCAGUAAAAGGGAUCCAACCACUUCUCUACCCGAGUCACAGUUUUUUGGUAGGGAGGAGGAAGAAGCACAAAUACUUGAACUAUUGAUAAAUGAUGUGCGAAAUUCCAAUGACAUGCUGAGAAUAAUCCUCAUAGUUGGGAUGGGCGGUAUUGGAAAGACGGCCUUGGCUCAGCGGCUGUAUAAUGAUGCCAGAGUGAAUAGAUGUUUCGAUAGGAAAGCAUGGGUUUGUGUUUCGGAUGUUUUUGAUGUUUUCGACAUAACCAAGAAUAUUUUCCACUCGAUCACCGGGUUGUCAUGCCAGGACAAAGAUCUUAACGGGCUUCAAGUUAAGUUGAGGGACAAUCUAUCUGGGAAAAAGUUUCUUGUGGUUUUAGAUGAUAUCUGGAAUGACAAAUACGAAAGGUGGACUGCCAUCUUGAAGCCAUUUGAAGCGGGGGCUAGGGGAAGCAAGAUCAUUAUCACGACUCGCAACGGUGCUGUUGCUUCCAUAACAAAAACGUUGCCGUACUGUUUGAAGGGAUUGUCCCUUGAAAAUUGCACAAACGUAUUAGCCUUUCAUGCUCUUGGAGAAAUAAACUUUGAGAGCCACCCGAAAUUUGAAAAAAUAUGCAAGAAAAUAGCUAAAAGAUGUAAAGGUUUACCUUUGGCAGCGAAGAUGUUGGGCGGUGCCCUACGUAGUAUAACGAAUCCCGAUGAAUGGGAAGAUACCUUAAACAACAUAAUAAGGGAUCUUGCAAUGGGGGAGAAUGAUGAGGUUCUCCCUAUUUUGAAAUUAAGCUAUGUCCAUCUUCCUUCCCAUUUGAAGAGAUGUUUUUCUUAUUGUGCAAUAUUUCCUAAGGAUUAUGAAUUUGAGAGGGAUGAGCUCGUAAUCCUAUGGAUAGUAGAGGGAUUUUUAGAUGGACAAAAGAAAACUAAAAAUAAGUUGAAAUUAGGAUGGAGUUACUUCAAUGAGUUAGUAUCUAGAUCAUUUCUUCAACAAUCAAGUGUUGACACAUCUAAGUUUUCAAUGCAUGAUCUUUUGAAUGAUCUAGCAAAGUCAAUUGAGGGUGCAAUAUGCUUUAGCUCUGGGGAGUCUUAGGUGGUAGUUAAUGAAGAUCACGCAUCUCUUGGGAGAGCUCUGUUCUUCAAUAGUGGAACAGUUGCAUGCCACAAGAGCGACUGCAAAAGAGAGGCAAAAGAAUUUGGAGAAGAGUAUUAGGGAAGAGGCUCGUCGUUUGAAGGAUGAGAGUGCUGGAGAUGAAGAUACAGGUCGGAGAGGUGUGGUUGAUAGGUAUGCGGAAGGUAGUUGGUUAAAGGGACAGCGUCAGUUGCUCGAUCUUGAGAGCCUCGCUUUUGAGCAAGGUGGCCUUUUAAUGGCAAAUAGAAGGACUGAUCUUCCUGUUGGCUCCUUCAAGCAUCUCAGCAAAGGAUAUGAGGAAGUUCAUGUGCCAGUUUUGAAAACUAAACCAGAUCCCACUGAGAAGCUUGUCAAAAUAUCUUCCUUGCCCGAUUGGGCACAACCUGCUUUCAAAGGGAUGCAACAGCUGAACCGUGUUCAAAGCAAAGUCUAUGAGACUGCUCUUUUUAGUGCAGAGAACAUCCUCUUAUGUGCUCCUACUGGAGCUGGGAAAACUAAUGUAGCCGUGCUGACCAUGCUUCAGCAAAUUGCUUUGAACAGGGAUCCAGAUGGAUCAUUUAACCACAGCAACUACAAGAUUGUAUAUGUGGCACCUAUGAAGGCACUUGUUGCUGAAAUUGUUGGUAAUCUGUCCAACCGUUUACAAGAGUAUGAUGUCAAGGUGAGGGAGUUGAGUGGUGACCAGUCAUUGACCCGUCAGCAAAUCGAAGAGACUCAAAUCAUCGUCACAACCCCUGAGAAGUGGGAUAUUAUUACCCGAAAAUCAGGAGAUCGUACCUACACGCAGCUUGUGAAGCUUCUGAUCAUUGAUGAGAUUCAUCUCCUCCAUGAUAAUAGAGGACCUGUACUCGAAAGCAUUGUUGCUAGAACUGUUAGACAAAUUGAAACCACGAAAGAGCACAUUCGAUUGGUGGGAUUGUCAGCUACAUUGCCCAAUUAUGAGGAUGUUGCGUUGUUCUUGCACGUAGAUGUUAACAAGGGACUAUUUUAUUUUGAUAAUAGUUACAGACCUGUCCCUCUUUCGCAGCAGUAUAUUGGAAUAACAGUCAGAAAGCCACUGCAGAGGUUUCAGUUGAUGAAUGAUGUGUGCUACGAAAAGGUAGUAGCUGCAGCAGGAAAGCAUCAAGUUCUUAUUUUUGUCCACUCUAGGAAGGAAACAGCCAAAACCGCUCGAGCUAUAAGAGAUUCUGCCCUCGCUAACGAUACACUUCUAUCAGAAGGCUACCUGAGUCAAUUGGUGACUUGUGCAAAUUACAAGCUUUGAUCUUAAGAGGUUGCCAUCAGCUUUCAAAGUUGCCUCACGGUAUCACAAAGUUGGUCAGCUUACAGUUUCUUGAUGUUAGAGAUACAGAAAGUCUAAAAGAGAUGCCAUUGGGUAUCAAUAACUUGAAGAAUCUUACUAUCUUGUCCAAGUUUGUGGUAGGAACAGAGAAAGGGCUACAGUUAAAGGAGUUAAAGAACUUGUCGCAUCUUCAAGGAGAAUUAUUCAUAUUGAAAUUACAAAAGGUGGAAGAUGUUAGAGAUGGUGUUGAUGCUAAUUUGUUUGGAAAGCAAGGCCUAAGAAAAUUAUUCUUGCAUUGGGAUAAAGAUUUUGGAAUUCUUCGGAAUGAUAAGCGCGAAUCACGGGUGCUCGAGUCUUUGCAACCUCCCAUUGAUAUUGAAAAUCUCACUAUUUUGAACUAUGGUGGUGCAAUAUUCUCGUCAUGGUUAGAUGGUUCAUCAUAUUCUCGGAUAGUGUCUUUGAGCUUGUGGAACUGUCCUUAUGUCACAUCAUUGCCUUCGUUUGGACAACUACCUUCAUUGAGAGAAUUAUCUCUUAAAGGUCUAAAUGCAGUAAGAAUAAUAGGCUCUAUUUUUUUAUGGAGGUGAUAGGCCUUUUUCUUCCUUAAUUACUUUGUAGUUCGAAGAGAUGUUGGCAUGGAAGGAUUGGUCUCCUUAUGCAGGGGGCCAAAAGAAGAAGUCCCAUUCUCUUGUCUUGAGCAUCUUAUUGUCCGGAGCUGUCCUUCGUUGGUCAAGACAUUGCCUUGUCAACUUGAUCGUCUUAUAAAGCUUGAAAUUCAUUCAUGCCAACAAUUGAAUAACUCAACCAGUGAGUUAUGUCUUCCAUCUCUCGAUGAGUUAUACCUUGAGGAUUGUAGUAAGGAGAUCUUAAAGAGCUUGUUCAAGCUAACUUCUUUGACAAUUCUCAAAAUUAACAAACUCAUAGAGCUUGUUUCCUUUGAUCAUCGAUUUAUGAGUUGCUUGGGCAAGCUAAGGAAGCUUCAUAUAGGAUUGUGUGACAAGCUAACAUGCUUGUGGCAAGAUGGAAAUGAAACGCAAAAUCUCACUUGCCUCCAGGAAUUAACCAUUAAAAGCUGUGCUCGAUUCACAUCUUUUGUGGCAGGAGACAGAGAGAUAGAGCUACCAUGUAAAUCUUGAAAGGAUGGAAUUGGUGGAUUGCACAAGUUUAGAAAAGCUUCCGAGCAAAAUGCACGCACUUAGACAUUUGGUGAUUGAGAAUUGUCCAAAAAUCAUGGCUCUAAACAUUCCUCAAGGUGACCCUUGUAGCAAUAAUUCGAUUUCUCAACUUGAAUCUUUUAAGAUACGUCACUAUUAUGCUUCUCCGAUAUCCUUUUCAUUUGCCAAGGGUAGACUUGCUGCUCUGAAGGCACUUCAUAUAGACAAUUGUAAGGGAGUGGAGUCGUUGGAAGGGAUUGUCGUAGAAUCGCUUGAAAUAAUGACAAUUAACGAUUGUCAAAUUAUGGGAAGCUUACCACAGUGCCUUCACAUGCUCUCCCAUCUCACUCGAUUGCAUAUUUAUAAUUGUCCAGCAUUGGAGAUAGAGGACUUCCCUCCCCUUCCCUUAACCCUCUCGAGUCUUGUUCUUAAUCAUUGUUCUAAGAUAAAGUCUAUUGCCAACUGUAACAUUGCCAACUGUAACAAUCUCACUAAAUUGGAAAUAUGGGAGUGUCCGAUAUUGGAGAUAGAGGACUUCCCACCCCUUCCCAUCACCUUGUAGAGGCUUAAACUUUGGGAUUGUCCGAUGAUAAAGUCCCUGCCAAAUAAGUGGCAUCAUCUUACAUCCCUCCAAGAGCCAUUUAUUCUCGUUUUCCAAAAUAUCAAAUGCUUACCCAAAGGAGGUUUGCCUCCCAAAUUGCGAAAGCUUGUUAUUUCGGGGCUCGUGGAUCUGAAGCAACCAGUGAGAGAGUGGGGCUUACACCUGCUCACAUCUCUCGAGAGUCUGAUCGUUGAGUUUAACAUGGGAGGGGAGGGAGAGAAGGAGUGGUUUCCUUCGGAGGAUGAGGAUGCUUGGAGUCUCUUUCCUUUCUCUCUAACCUAUCUUUCGAUAUAUGAUUUGAGAAAAGCGAAAAGACUAUCGAGCGGUCUUCGCAACCAUCUCUCCUCUCUCAAGUAUUUAACGAUUGCAAAGUGCCCCAAGUUGAGGUACUUGCCAGAGGAUGGCUUCCCUCCCUCCCUCCAACAAUUGCGCAUAUAUCGAUGCAAGAUUUUGAAAGAGCGAUGUGCAAAACUCACUGGCAACUUUUGGCCCCUCAUCGAAGAGAUCCCUAAUAUCGAGAUUGAUGACUAGCCGAUCUACACUAUAGUCAGUUUUCUUAGGGAUCAGGUAAGUUAUUUUUGGUUUUGAAGGCAUCCUUUUCCAUUCUACUUUCUCAAUUCGAUGCUCAGUACGAACUAAUGUUUGGGUGGGGGAUCUCGUUGGGUUGGAUUAGCUCUGUUUCGUUGGACAAUGAACUGUAGGAUGAAAUGCUCGCAAUGCUGCCUCUUGCUAUGUUGAUGACAUAUCCUUAUUUCUAAUUGAUGCCCAAACCAUUGGUGAAUGAAAUCGCACCAUCACGAAGAAUCAUAGCAUUCCACAAUCAUAGUCCUCUGCAUUUUCAGCGUCUAUUGUCUAUUCUCUUCCCAACAUCUUUUUUACUAACUAUAAUGUAGGCCUUGCAUAGCUUGGUCAAAGAUUAUAUUUCAUCCUUCUUUUAUUCAAAUACAUGAGAAUCAUGAAGAUUCAAUGGUGUUCCACAAUCAUAUUCCUCUGCAUUUUCAGCAUCUGUUGUGUGCUAUCUUCCCAACAUCUUUUUCUCGUGCCCUAGUUCAUCCACUUUGAUUGUUUUGCAAGAUGCCAUUGUCAUAUGUAUUGGCAAAAUUUCCUGGAAGGAUCACUUGUGAAAAUUAUUGAGGUAGGGUUGUGUUGUCAAUGUUAUGUGUCAUUUUUAACAAUUUACAAGAAAGGAAGAAGCAGUUAAAUUUAUUUGGUGCACUGAUAUGCUAUAAAUUUUCUUCUUGUGAUUAUUAUCCAAAUAAGAAUUAUCUCUCUCAAAAUCUAAAAAUCAAAUUAGUCAUGUGGAAGCUGUGAUAUGAUUGUGAAGAAAAGGGAUGCAAUUUUUAUUUUUUUUUAAUUAUGGUUUUCUUUAGAAUUGAGAACCUUCUUUUUGUUGAUGAUGAUCCUUCAUAGUAUUAAGCAGUCUAUUUAGGGUGCUCAUGGCUCUAAGCUUUCAAUGCAACACAAAUUCAUGAUAGGAUCGAUAUUCAUAAACCACCUUAUUUUUAGGUCUUGAUCUCUAUUGAGUUAGGAACUAUUACCUACAACUUGCUAGAAAUUUUUAGCCAAUAUACUCAUGCUUAUUUGGUUGAGACGGUAACGAUAUCCUACCUGCGUCUAGGUUUGCAUUGUCAGUAAUGACCUCUGGGGCAAAUCUUGUCAGUUCUUUAAAUUCGUCAUACACCAUGUCGUUGUAUCUAAAAUUACCUUCUUAUGUGGCAUUCUUCCUGAGCUCACCUGGGUUCCUUGGUCUAACUGGAAAUCCUGCACUUCAUCAAUGUAUACCUUGUCUAGAUCAUCUUCUCUCUCUUUGCUACUGUUGCGCAUGUUAAAAAAAAAAAAAAAAUCAUGCAAUUUUUUUGUGAUAUCGUGAAGCUGUAUUGGAGGUUAGUUGAUAUGUAAUCUCAAUUGUGGUUCAUUGUGUACUUUCUCUGAGGCUUUUUGGAUGUUAUUGCACAUAUAACAUGGUGCUUUGACCAUGUACAUAGGUGGUUAGAUAAGCAGAGUUGCAUCUGCCAAGAUAACUUUCAAGAAACCUCACAUAGUUCUGCUUGACAAGCCAUCCAAUCAUUUAAUUGGUUUACUCAUUUUUCUUUUUCAGUUAGCUUGUUAUUGUUCUUGCACCAUUUGAACUUAUUGGAAUAUGGUCUUUACAUUGAAAAUACAGUAAAACCAAUCAAUGAUCACAGCUACAGGGAGCAUUUGUCAUUGUACAUCUAACUUACAAUGGAAUAGAGAGCAAUCUAGUUUUUCCAACUUGCAAAAUGUUGGGAAUAGAAUGGUUCUGCUAGCCUGAUCAGUGUGUUUGUAUUACAGUAAUCUAUGAUACUACCAAGUAGUUCCUAUGUUUGUGCUUCGAGGUAGUGUUGGGCUUUGCACAUAAUGAAUGUGGACCCUUUUCUUGCUUAUAAAUGUUCCCUCUUAGUUUUGCUUUAAUGAGUAGUGACUACUCAAGUGUCAUCUUUGUAAAUCGUUAGUUUCUUGUCUAGAAAUAGAUAUGAUCCUGCCUUUUCCACUAUACCCAAUUGUAGGAUUUGGAUGAGGCACUCAUUCAAGGUCUGGUCUUGUUUCUUGGAUGGAUCAUUUCGCAGCUGACAGCCCUCUUUUCGCCUUGAUUUGCAGGUUAGUCUCGAUGAGCAUCUAAUAUCUAGAAGCGUAGACAAGCUAUUGGUGGUUUCUCAAGGCAAGGUGGCGGCUUUCCAUGGGAAUUUCCAGGAAUAUAAGAGUUUGGAUGUCCUGAGGGUAUCUCUGGGGUUAUUGCCUUCAUCAUCUGCACUAACGGUGGAGGACAAACAUCCCAAAAUGAAGUAGAAAUUGGUUGAGCUCGCCCAAUCUCUGAAUGCAGCAUGUGUGGAAUAACGAAUUUAUCAAGUCGAUGCAUCUUCUAUAACCUUAACGUCCGGCUAGGAAAGAGAGAAUCUCCCGGACAACAAAUUCCUUCCAAAGAGCCACCAAUUCCACCGGUUCCCCACAAAAGUAACACUCGAGGAUACAAUCGUGAAAGAGGGAAAAACCCUAGCCUAAGCUCGUCGGAUGCAGGCGACGAACUAGAGCCGCCGGUAGAGCUUCCGGAGGUGACGGCGGAGGCGGAGGCAGAGGCAGCGACGUGGUCGGGAGUGACGAGGAAGACACCUUCGCUGUAAUGGGAGCGAAGCGCGCGCACGGAAGGUUCAAGCUCGAGCUCGCUGGGCCCAGAUGGCAUAUCGGAGCCGCUGAUGGGCUCCGGAAUGCGACGAGCGGAGGCGGGGGCGGAGGCGGCGGCGCAGUUCGUCCGAGGAAUAGAGAGGAGCCUGGGAUUGAGAGGGAAGAGAGCGAGGGAGAGGAGAGAGAGGGAAUUUCAAAAUAUCUUUUAGGUGGGAUCCUACUGUACAGGUGGUGAGACUUGAGAGAGAGAAGGAACACUUUUUAUAUGCCGGCAAUAAAAAAGAUCUCAAAUUCCGCUCAAGCUACUCAUAUUCCCUAAGUCACUAUUUCAAAACCUACAAAGUAAUUUAAUGCGUGUCUUGAUAAAUAAAUAAAUAAGCAAAAGACAUAGUAACUUAGUAUGAAUUGGAGCAAAUGAUCGGUAACCUCACAUGUGGAUUACAGUUAGCUUUACCGGUUCUUUGUAUUUGCCUCUGUUGGCACAUGAAUUUUCUCGAAAAAAUCAAGUAUUGCAUUUUUUAAAAUAGAUAAACAAUAGUAAUAAGAACAAAAAAUAGAUAAACAAAUUAACAAAUAACAAAAGAAGAAGAAGACGCGGAAGGAGGAGGAGGAGGAGAAAAAAAUAAUAAAGCCUCGGCCCUAUUCAGUCCAGUCCAGUCCAGUCCACAAAGCCCAUUCAAAUCCACGGCCUCAAUCCAUCAGCCCAUUCGUUGAUUGAAAACGGUCCUGAACUGAUUUUGUACGACUUUGGUCUCAAAUCCGAGUUCAGCGAUGCCUCCUUUAAAUCCUCACUCGAUGCACGUAAACUGUUCGAUGAAAUGUCGCUGAGAUAGGGUUGUGUAAUGGUUCUUCCAUAAUUGUCUAAUCUUAAGGCAAAUUGACAUAGUUUACAUGAUAUUUUUUGUUUUUUCUUUUAGCUGUUAGGCAUGAUUUGUUAGACACGUAACCUGCAUUUCAUUUGUUCUGCGUUUCGCAUGUUCGUUUGGCUACAUUGCUUCGGCUAGUCGUUGCAUUAGAUUAAUGCCAAAAAAUUAUGUCGGCGUCAUUAUUCACUAGGCGACAUGGAGACCAUACCCAUCCGAUCGAUCCAUCCUCCAAACGGAAUUCCUUUCGCCAACAGAUAAUAUUUGGUUUUCCAUCUAAUCGUGUUCCAUGGCAAUUCGAACAGGAAGUGGCACGCGUAACCAAAAACUAGAAUUAAUUACUCUAGAACAAAGUUAAAAUGCAGGAAGUAGAAAAUUAAGUCAAUAAAUUGAAAGAUACAUAAUUUGAAUUGAUGAUCUUGUAUCCCUUGCACAAAUAAUCCAACAUGGCUUAUAUAACCCUAUCGCUAGACGUAACCGCUCCUAAGUGGUCAGUAUUCAAAUUAAAGGUUACAAACUGCAACUCCAUGAUCUUAGGCUCUAUGAACAAAUUCCAUGAUUGCACAUUAACUUUAUCCAUAUGCGGCAGUGAAAUCAAAUAACACAUUUCCACAAUGUUGGCGUACAAAACUUGAUUCGGUUUUCAAAUAACAUGUUGUGAAAUCUUCACUUUUGUGGUCUUGGGUUCAAAUCUUAUUGGAAGCGCUCCAGAAGUAAAAUUCUGAGUGCAGUAGGCUGAUGUCUGCAAGUACCUCCUUACAUAUCACUUGGAGUGGUGGAUCAAUCUAAAUGCACAAAAACUGGCCAGGACACUAUUUUAACACUAAAACCGAAAAAGAAAUGAAAGGAAGAAGCUUCAACUACAUUUUUGGUCUCUCUCUCUCUCUCUCUCUCUCUCUCUCUCUCUCUCUCUCUCUCUCUAUACCGGCGGUGGCAACAAUGUGAAGAAAAACGAAAGAUGGUAACAAAAACUGAUUAGGAAAAGUUUAGAAAAUUGUCAAAAAAAUUUACAAAGAUUGGAGUAAGUUAUCAUAUGGAUUUGUAAGUGGGUUUCAAGUGCCAAGCCUUUCUGUAAACAGAGCACCAGGGCCACAGGCCCAAUCAAAUGAGACCAAGAGCACUUUGCCUAAGUCCAUGAAUCAAACGGAACCAUAUAGCAUCGGCAAAACAGGAAAAUCAAACAAUAAAAAAAAAUUAUAAUAAAUUUAAAAAAAUGACGACGAUGAUGAUGAAAAUUCUAACUUGCUUUUACGUUAUUAUUACUUUAAUUUGUUUACGUUCUUGUGUUUAAUAUCAUUAUUGAAACCGUAGGCAAUUAUCCUUUGCCAAAAUUAGACUUUGACUUGAUUUUGAAAAUUAGCUCACUGGUCGAUGUCCCCAAACGUAAUAAUAAAGCAAUGUAUACUUUGCUCGUCUCGUUUCGGAUUUACUUUCCACACUUUAUUUUUACUCGUCCUUUAGUAUCAUUUUGAUGUGUCAUGCUGUUUUCAUUAUAUUGAUUUCGUGAUGUAAUUUCUUUAGAUUCAUUCAAUGAGUAUAUUACACUUUAGAGUCAAUCUUGAUCAAACAAGCAUGCAUGGACACGUUGUGGAGAAUACUACUACGUGUAAUCAUAUCUUUGAAUUCUCUAGCUUAUAUAAAGUAACGUGUUUUCCCGUUAGCUCCUAACUGGUUCCAAUAGGCUAGUAAUGAGUAUAUUUCUCAAUGUUAUGUGCGGUUAGGAUUUCAAAGAGCUCACACCGAAGGAGAGGGAUCACACGUUCCCGUUCAAUAAGCUAUUAAACCCACUCAUCCCGCUCGGGAGCAUCGCAAUAGCCUCUGACUGCCUUUGCACUUACUAUCGGCAUUUCAAUUUUUACCAAAAUAUUACGAAGGCAAUUUAAAUUCAGCAUCUUAUCAACUCGAUUGAAUCUGUCUCAGUAUUGUGUUGAUCUUGAAUCACUUGAGUCAGUUAGAAUGUUCUGCCCUCUCGGAACCAGAUCGUCUUCUCUGCCUGCUGCUCCUCUCUGCAACUUUGACCUUCAUGGUCGUAUCUGUUUGGGAAUGACUGAUCCCCGAAAACCGGAUUCGACACCGAAUCGAAUCCCUAAAUCAAUGCGGAAGACGAAGCCCGGGAAAAACACGUAUCACCGAUCGUAAAGCACACCGCGGAGUCGAGCGUACCUUGUUAGCCACAGAUUAAACACCGUCGUCAAUGGAGGAAGAGAGUCCAGUCGAUGAAGCCUUGAAGGGAAGAAAUUGGAAGCCGUAUGCCUUACUGUUCUUCGGGAGAGAAAACGCGCGGGAGAGAAGCGUACGUUGAUUGUGCCAAAGGGUGCUUCUCUCUCUCUCUCUCCUCCCUUUUAUACCUUCCCCCAUCCACGGGCCCUAUUCCCGUGGGCCGGGCUUUUUGGGCCCAACUUGGGCGGACGGGCCAACUCAGGCCCAUCUCAUAAAUCCAUCAUCUCCCACUCGCACAUGGUGGUACAAAACCAACAUGGGCGGACAGGCCCUACUCAGCCUCAUCAAAGAAAAAUCCAUCAUAGACUUUCUCUUAACACGGUGGGCCGAACAGAAUUCUCUUUUACUCUCUUCAACAUUCAUACCAGUGAAUAAUCCGUGCGACCAGCAUACUUUGAGAGCUCGUUACUAUACAUAUGUUAGGAAUAUAUAGCAGCUCAUAAUGAGCGUCACACUCCGAGUAGAUUUAGUAUGCAGUACCCUAGAUCGAUCGAUCACAUUUAUAUCUCUCUUGAUCUCUUUCAAACAAUGAUAUAUUGUAUUCACAAUUAUGAUUAUCACAAAAACAGUCAUAAUUGGUUAACCGGUGAAUACAAAACUACAAUUUGAUUCUCCAAAAUCAAUCUUCCUCUUCCCUUCAAACUCUCAAUUUCAGUUCGGCUUGCUUUUCUAGAAAUGCCCCAUUAGAUCGCAUCAAACUCAUGACCAUUGGCAACAUCCUAAGAUAGCAAACACUAAAUAGAAAUCUUAAGAAUAAGUAAGAGUCAUGAGAGGACUAAAAAAUUGAGGAACUCUUUUCCUCAAGAGUCUCACACGACAUAAAAAAAAGUUGAGAUCAAACUUUUGCCACUCUUAUUGGUCGUCUCAUGCAUACGUAGUAUGAAAUACGUAUUACGGUAUUAACUCCUUUCCCAUGGAGCGUAUGUCUACACCUUUCAAUACCGUACAGAUGAUAGUUCAGACAUACCCAAUGUCUAACUUGAGUUCACGUAUCUACUCAUUUACAAAAUUCAUCAGAACUCACAUCUGGCAUCAUAGACAGAUAAAGUAAAAUAUGUGGGGUAUUUUACUCUCGGACAUAGUAAGUAUUAUGUCCUCAUCUUAACACCCAGUUAAGGCGACAUACGUGUUUUAAGCUUGAGCUCUCGAUUAUCACCUAGAUAAUAAGCUUAAAAACAGUCUCAUCUCUAUUUAUCACAUAGCAAAUAGAGGCGAUUACUCGUGUGAGUGGGCUAAUCUUUUAUCUGUCCGACAUACUUCUUAACUUAAAAAUAAUACACUGAGCAUUAAGAUGCAUAAAGAUCACACAUAGAUUCAUAGACAUUAAUGAUGAAAACACAAAUUCAUCAAAUGUGAACAUUUAGGGAAAUUACAAUAUUCAGUACAUCAACCUCUACGCAAUCCUAGAGAUUUCAUAUAGCCACAAAACACAUCUCUAGGUAUUGGCUUUGUCAUAGGAUCUGCUACCAAUCUUAUGCGUAGUAUGUACUUUUAGUUCACAUCAUUUCGUGCAACCAUAUUUUAAACAAAGUUAUACUUGGUAUCUACAUGUUUGGUCUUGCCUUGAUAUUUUGGAUCUUUGGUGUACGCUUUUACUACUUGGCUAUCAUCGUUAACUAAUAACGAAUCUGCAGCACUUCCAAUAACACCUAAAUGAUCCAAUAAUCUCUUAAGCCAAACAUCCUCAUAUACUGCUGCUGAUAAUGCCACGGACUCAGUUUCCAUCGUGGACAAGGCUAUACACUGUUGUUUCUUACUGCUCCAACAAAUGGUGCCAUUAUUCGGUAAGAAAACAAACUAAGAGAUAGAUUUUCUUUCAUCUAAAUCUCCUUCUCAAUCAGCAUCAUAAUAGCCUUAGAGUCGCAGAUCCUUUCCUCAAUGACUCAGCGUAUAAUCAGCAGUCCCCUUUAGAUACCUUAGUAUUCUUUUAACGGCUUUCCAAUGUGCUUGACCUGGAUUGGAUUGGUAUCUACUCACCAUUCCAACUGCAUAACAUAUGUCAGGUCUUGUACACAUCAUAGCGUACAUCAAGCUCCCAACAGCAGUAGCAUGAGGAACAUAUUUCGUUUGUUCCUUCUCUUGUGGAAUCCUUGGACACAGUCUAUGGCUCAAUCCUUCACCUUUUGCAAUAGGAGUGUCUUUGGGUUUACUAUCCCAUAUCCUUCAACUCAAAGUUGGAAGACAACCGACUUUUGACAAUAUUGACAGGCUCCAUAUUGCUUCCGGCAAUUGGUAUAUCAUCAACAUAUAAUGAUAUGAUCACAAAUUGAUCAUUGGAUCUUUUGAUAUAUACACAAUGAUCCUCAUCUAUCAUUGUAAAAUCAUAUGCCAUUAGGGUAUUAUGAAAUCGUAUAUACCAUUGUCUUGACGACUGCUUAAGGCCAUAUAUCGACCUCGAAAGUCGACAUACCUUUUCUUUUUGGCCUUUCACUAUGAAACCAACAGAUUGUUCCAUAUAUGUUUCUUCCUCUAAUUCUCUAUUGAGGAAAGCAGUCCUCACAUCCAUUUGAUGUAACUCAAGAUCCAUACCAAACACUAUUGCCAGAAUUAUGCGAAUCAAGGUAAAUCACACUACAGGAGAAAAUGUAUCUACAUAAUCAAUAUCUUCUUGUUGAUUAUACCCCUUCGCCAUAAGGUGAGCCUUAUGCCUUUCUAUCGAGCCAUCAGUCUCUCGCUUUAUUUUGAGAACCCACUUGUUCCCAAUAGUUUUGUGUCCUUUUAGAAGAUCAACCAGUUCCCAGACUUGGUUUGAUUUCAUUGACUCCAUUUCCUCUUUCAUUGCAUGAAUCCAUUUUUCCUUAUUAGGGCAAUUCAAAGCCUCAUUAAUAUUUCUUGGCUCAUACUCAUCUUGUGGAGCAACCAUAAAAGUUUCCCUUUCAAUGUCAAAACAUCGACGGGGAAUACUUUGGCGACUUGUUCACCGUAUGGGAGAUUGUACACUUAGCACAUCAUUCCCCAUUAUGCUCCCACUUGGAUUAUGUAAUGAUGAUGUCGUCACAUCAGGUGGUUACAAUUGAGAAUGAGUUGAAUUCAAUUCAUCACAUCUCAUAUUACUCCCACUUGGACGAACUCAACCAAUAUCAUUAUCUAGAUCCAAGGUUUCAAAUAGGAAAUAAUCUUCUCCUAUUUCGCCCCUCUUAGGAAAUUCAUCCACUAAGGAUGUGACAUCCCAUGAUUCAAAAUUCAGUUAUUCUCCCACUUUCCUGCUCACCUACGAACACAUACCCUUUCGAGUGUUCGGAGUAUCUCAUAAAAAUACUCUUCUUUCAUUUGGGACCAUAUUUCCCAAAUUUGUGAGAGGAUUCAUUAUAGGCAGCACAACCCCAUGACUUAAGAAAACCUAAGUCCGGUUUUCUACCUAUCCAUAACUCAUAUGGAGUGGAACUAACUGAUUUAGAAGGCACCCGGUUAAGUAUUUAGGCAGCAGUUAACAACGCAUCACUCCAAGAAGUGAUAUGUAAGUUAGCAUACACCAUCAUGGACCUAACAAUUUCCAGUAGGGUUCUGUUUCUUCUCUCUGCAACACCAUUUUGUUGAGGAGUAUAUGGAAUAGACAACUAUAUUUCUAUUCCUUUUCAUCACAUUAUUUUCUGAACUCAUCAGAUAAAUAUUCUCGACCUCGAUCGGAUCUCAAUACUUUUAUUUUCUUGUCUAAUUGAUUCUCUACCAGGGUCGUAAACCUUUUGAAACAACUUAUCGCUUCAGAUUUAUGAGAAACCAAAUAGACACAUCCGAAUAAAGUAUAAUCAUAUAUUAAAAGUGAUGAAAUAAACAGCCCCAUGCCUUCCUCUCACAUUCAUUGAACCACAAACGUCAUAACGGAUUAAAUGCAGAGGAAAUUCAGCUCUUUUACCUUUUCUAAAUGGUUUCCUUGUCGUUUCCCUUCUAGGCAAUGCUCACAUAUGGACAAAUCAACUUUUUCAAUAUUGCCCAACAAGCCCUCUUUGGCUAGUCUUUUCAUAUGUUGCUGGCCCAUAUAACCAAGUCUAGCAUGCCACAUAUUCACAUCUUUAUCAUAUGAAGUAGAAGACGUGAAACAAACAUUCACAUCAUUAUCAUGUGAAGUAGAGAAGACGUGAAACGAGGGAAUAACAAUUAUUGACAUCGCCACAGUCAACAUCUAAUACAAUAAAACCAUCAAGAAAGUGACCACAACUAUAAUAGUUCGUAUCCAAAUACAAAUCUACACCUCUAUUAUGGAAGUUCAUAUAAAAACCAAGCUUGACCAACAUCAAAACAGACACUAAAUUUCGACGAAUUUCCGGAGCAUAUAGAUCUUCAUGUAGGAACAAGUUGCGUCCACCACGCAUGUUCAAUUGGCCGGUGCCAAUCCAUUUAACUUCAUCUCUGGAGUUAUUUUCUACAUAGAUGCACUUAGUUCCAGUUGGUACUCGUCAAAAUUCCAUGAAGAAUUCUCUAUCCUUCGCUAUAUGGUAUGUUACAUCUGAAUCUAUAGCCCACAAAGGAUUGGAUUCAGCCAAUAAAGCAGAACUUGACACAUAAGCAAAGUUCUCAAAUGUACUAGAGGUGUAUACUUGCUUUGGCUCACGACAGUCGCAAGCAUAGUGACCUCUCUUGUCACAAUUGUUACACCUCACCCUUGACAUUUUCUUUACUUGAGGACGUUUUCCUCUCUUGUGUUGGUUAACCCUUGAUUUCUUGCAAUAAGGACUUGAUCCUUUGCAUGCCCAUAUAUUGAACGAAUCAAUACGCUUGCGCUUAGAGCUCAAAGCCCUUUCUAAGCUAGAACCAACAUUGCCAAUAUUUAUUUUCGGCUCAAAUGCCAUUAGGCGGUCCUCUACUAGCUCAAGGUGGCGCACGGCACCCUCAAGAUCUUCCAUAAUUUGGUCAAGAGCUUCUAGUGCUUCUUGCUUUUACAGCACAUAUUGAAUCUUCAUAUUCAAUAUUUCACAAUUGUUGCCGUUCAUAUCAGCAAUCACAUUCUUAGUUGCUGAAACCAUCAGUCUGAACACAUCAGACAUACAUGCACGAAUAAUUAAUGCCUAUCAUUUAUGCAUCCCUAUUUACAUAGACCCAUCAUAUUAAUGAAUAAUCUCAAGUAAGGCUUCAGAAUCAAAAGGUCACUACGUUUCCAAUCAGCCUCCAAAAAUCCUAACUUAAAACUAUCAUUAAUAUGAUUGUCAUAUGUAAAAUCAAUUCUAUGAAACUACAAAAACUUCUAAAACUACCCACAGCUAAUUACCCACAGCAACCAGCAAUAACAAAAAGCAAUAUAUAAUAGAAUAUCGAAUAAAAUAACAACGCUUUCACAUGAUACAACUAACAUAUCGGUUGCUACAUCAACAACAAUCAGGUAGUAAACAUUACAUAAUUAAUCAAAGAAAUAAUUAGGGAAAGUCCCUUCUAAUCUAUCAGUCAAAACAUCUGAGAAAACCGAAGGCACAUUUGCCAACCAUGGAAAAAUUUUUGGAGAGCUCUUAUGUCGCCACCAAGGCGCAUUCGCUCUGCGCCAUGUGGCGCUCAAUCUAAGGGUUGAAGUUUUGGCCAACUCAAUCCUAUAGUAUUCUCUUACAAAAGUUUCCACUAGACCUCUAUAACCCGGGACCACGUUGACCUCCCAUAGCCGAUCUAACACUGCUUGCCAUUCAGGUGGAAGAGUGUUCAUCAAAGCCGGCACCUUCUCAAAGUCCAGCAUAAGAUAACCAUUCCAGAUGAUUUCCUGUAUCAUUUGAUUGACCUUGACCAUGUGUGAUACUAAAUCACCAUCAAGCCACCGAUAAUCAGCUAACCCUUUCAUCAGCCUUUUCAGUCUAGCUCUUCCUUCGUCCGUUCUUGGGAUUGCAGGUAUCCGUGCAUAACGCAUCAUAAUUCCUGCAACAAAUGCAAAACUAAAAUGGAUCACUUAUAAUCCAUAAUAAACAAAAUGGAAAAUACAUAAAUUUCCAUGAUUCAUGCAACAAAUGCAGAAUAAAAAUGGAUUACCUACAACCCACACAGGCAUAAUUGAAAAAAGAAACAAAUUCCUUUUUUUUUUUUUUUUUUUUUCGGGUCAACGGUCAAAGUCAACGGUCAACGGUCGUCGGACCGGCCGGACCGGACGGACCGGUCGGGCCGGUCGGAUCGCUCGCGCGGACCGACGCACGUGCCGCGCGCGUGCGGGGGAUGACAUCACGCAGACGUCAUCCGCACGUGCCUGCCACGUGCCUUGGUCUCCGGUGGGUCGGGUCGCCGGCUGGUGACCGCCCAGCGAAACGUCGUCGGCGAUGACGUCAUCGGUGACGUCAGCACGCGUCGGUCCGCGGACCGGCGCGUGCCGUUUCGCCGGUCGCCGGCGCGCACGUGCCGGUUCGUCACCGGCGCGUGUGGCGCACGCGCUGGCCAUUGCCAGCGCUUCGGGCGCGUGGCGCCCACGCGCAGCGGCUUGUGGCCGCGCGUGUGGGCGCGUGCGGCAUCUUCCGGCGACGCACGACAUGUCGCCGGACUCGUCUCGUCCUCGCCUUUCACGCAGGGCGUACAGUGCUCGGGUGUCGGGAUUUCACGCCCCGAUCCGUACGGCCGAGAAUUUUUUACGAAAAAUCAAUGAAAAACAUCAAAUUGAUCGGGAAAAACUUGAACUAGGGCUCUGAUACCAAUGUUGGGAAUGACUGAUCCCCGAAAACCGGAUUCGACACCAAAUCGAAUCCCUAAAUCAAUGCGGAAGACGAAGCCCGGGAAAAACACGUAUCACCGAUCGUAAAGCACACCACGGAGUCGAGCGUACCUUGUUAGCCACAGAUUAAACACCGUCGUCAAUGGAGGAAGAGAGUCCGGUCGAUGAAGCCUUGAAGGGAAGAAAUUGGAAGCCGUAUGCCUACUGUUCUUCGGGAGAGAAAACGCGCGGGAGAGAAGCGUACGUUGAUUGUGCCAAAGGGUGCUUCUCUCUCUCUCUCUCCUCCCUUUUAUACCUUCCCCCAUCCACGGGCCCUAUUCCCGUGGGCCAGGCUUUUUGGGCCCAACUUGGGCGGACGGGCCAACUCAGGCCCAUCUCAUAAAUCCAUCAGUUGCUCUAGUCAUCCACUUAGCGGUGAUCCUUUGACGCGGUUUUGGCUCCCGAUGCUCAAGGAGCUGCUGGGGAGGCAUAUGUUGGCACAAGAUCGCUAGUAGCAGGAUCCUCUGCCACGAUUACCAUGUGACGAUGGAGUUUAACAUAAUUUCGAGCCUUUGGAUAUAGACAUCCAGCUUCAAAUUCAUUUAUAUAGUUUAAAUUCAAGUCACGGAUCAUUUGGUUAGAAGCUUCCGAUAGUGCAUGAUUGUGACUUCUCCUGAAUAACAAUAAUUAGCAUGUACACAUUGCAUUUUCAACAAGUCAUAACGCUAUUUCGCUUUUAGUAAUAAUAGAGGAAGGGUUUGGCUUGCUCUGAACAAGUAGGCCAACUUGUUCUCUACUAGAAGGAAACGUUUGGCUGAGGCAAGUCGACUUGUCAACUUGUUUUCUAGAAGUGACGGUUUGGAACCUCAACUUAAGAUUCACGGCUAGUUUCUCUUCCUUCUUUAAUGGCAAGUUGACUAAGAUUUGGAGGCCAACUUUGAUUUUUCUUCUUGACGGCCAAUAUAGGAUGUUGAUUAUUCAACACCACCCUCUUUUGAUCUGCCCAGUCCCCUACAGACCUGUCCUAGUCGUAGCUCCGUCGAUAUUAUCUUCUAUCGUUGUAAGCAGUGGCCACCCAUUGCCGUAGCAGAGUUCCCACGCAUACACCGUGAAUUGUCGAACCUAGCGCUCGUCCCCCCUGCUCAGCAGUUUUCUCUUCCUGCUCGUCCAAACCUGGCGCUCGUCCUUGCUGGAUUGCUGUUUUUGAUCUAAUCUUGUUCACCGGUCAGCUCCAGAAAGUCUACUCGGAAUAGGUAAAUCUCUUUUCCCCUCAAGCUGAUUCAUCCAGAACCUCACUGCUAAAGUAUCUGGUAGGCCUUUAUUACACGGGAGCAGCCACCAGUCAUUUCUGAAAUCUUUCUAUAUAUUUGAAGCAAAAGAAGAGGUGGCAGCAGCAACAAUAUUUUCGUUCUUAAACUGACUUCAUGCCUGUCUAUAUUCCCGAUUGCAAGUUUAAUAACAAAAUUUUAGUAGAAGUUGAUGUCAAAUACUUGCUGUCCCGAUUAAAGUUGCGUCAUGGUGAUUUGUUGAAUAUUUUUGCCAUCCAUGUUUAUGAAAUUGCAUAUGGCUAGGUCACUCUCGAUCACGUCUUCACGUGUAAUUUCAUGAAUUUACAUGUGUCAAAUUUCAUAAAAGUCAUCCACGGCAUGUUAUACACAUUCGUUGCAUUCUAGAUUGUAUAUUAGGGGAGGUGUUUAACAAAACUACGUGUAGAGUUAUUAGGUGUUGCACAUUUAGGAAAUUGCAUAUCAUACAUUUACAUAUUUAGGGAAAGUCAUAUUCACAUUUUUAAGUGUGUUCAUAUUUGCUGAUUUGGACAGACUUAGGAUUUUUCAUUACAUAUUAGGAUGGAAUUUCAUCAUAUUCGUGUCAGGAUAAUUAUAUUCGAAAAAUUACAAUUUCAUGGACAAGCAUUAUCAUAUCCCACGGACUCCACUCUCAUUCAAUUAAUUUCUUGCAUGCAUAUCGAUUGUCGCCAAUCACCACCAUCUCUAGUCGUCGCUCCAUCAAUACCAUCGUUCGUUGUUGCAAGCAGCGACCACGCAUUCCCGUAGCUGAAUACGUACGCGUACACAGUGAACUGCCAAGCCUAGCGCUCGUGCUUGCUGGAUUGCUGUUGUGGAUCUAAUCCCGUUCGCCUGGUCAGCUCCAGGAAGUCUACUUGGAAUAGGUAAAAGACAUCUAUCUACUUGCUCUCUUUUUCCCUUGAACUGAUGCAGCAAGUUUAAUAACAAAAUUGGGGAAAGUUGAUGUCAUAUACUUGCUGGCCAGAUUAAAGUUGCAGCUUGACUGCAUAAUUCAUGGUGAUUU
rnacentral:lncRNA from 1 species